rnacentral:rRNA from 1 species
UACGUAGGGGGCAAGCGUUGUCCGGAUUAUUGGGCGUAAAGCGCGUGUAGGCGGCUUGGCAAGUCCCCUGUGAAAACUCGAGGCUCAACCUCGAGAUGUCGGUGGAAACUGCCUGGCUAGAGUCCGGAAGAGGAGUGUGGAAUUCCUGGUGUAGCGGUGAAAUGCGCAGAUAUCAGGAAGAACACCUAUGGCGAAGGCAGCACUCUGGGACGGUACUGACGCUGAGACACGAAAGCGUGGGGAGCAAACAGG